GUUAAAUACUUUUUCAUUAUGUGAUCUCCAUAGAAACCAAAUGGUAGCCAGGAUAAUACAUGUCAUUAACUAUUCUAAUGUUCCCGUUAAAGUCAAAGCUUCCUACUUUUAAUCUCCACCUUUGGAUCAAGUUGAAAUUAAAUCAUGGCCGUAAUAAUUCACAAAAACCUUCUAGAAGGGAAGGUUGGAAACGGUUUUUGAUUCCUUCAAUUUCUCCCCCACAUCGGAACCCAGCAGUUAUAUCACCCUCUCCUGGUCCCAACACCACCGCCAUUCAUCACAACGACUCCUCCAUCAGAGGAGCCUCACCCCUCUGCGAUUACAUCUCCUAUUUCUAUGAACCCUCAAUCGCCAACUACUACUGACCAUCCUCACAACCUCAUCGUCCGUUGCUCUCGACACCACCGUAUCGAAAUCGUAUGACUCUUUCCCGCCGGUCUAGAAGAUGUCUGGAAGUUCCAUUUCAACGAUUAUGUUGAUUUUCUGGCGUUAGUUACGGUGGAUACGGUUCAGGAUCUCAGCGCAAGGGGAGUUGUUAAUGCUGGUACCGAUGCUUGGGAAGAGGUGGAAAGAUCUGACGACAUAAAUUAGCACGAUGACCAGCCCGGGUUCUCGUAUUACCUUCUUUAAUUACAAGCCUCUAAUUGGUUGGCUACAUUGUGCUGAGAUGGUUGCAUAUAAUCUGCAGGCCAGCAUUAGUUUCUACUUCUCGCGUGAUUUGUAAUUUCGUGAAGGCUCCAAAGAAAAGUGUUAGGGGAGUCGCAACUAAGAAGAAAAUUGUAAAGGUUGUGAACGAACCCAAGGCCGAAGUAAUUUAGGAUAGAUGGAGCAUUGCCGAGAAGAUUUGGGAAGAAAUCUUCAAUUUCAUCAUCAAUUGACUCACACUUAUCGUUCAUCAUCGACCAUCGUAUACAGUGCCAAUGUGGUUGGCAAUGAUGCCGCUCUCUGCAAGAAGGAAUAUCACUAUAAGCUUACGCACGACUGGAAAUGUGGGAAUGGUGAAUGGUUUUUAUGGAAUUAUGUUUUAUUGCAAAGAGCCAAUUUAUGAUGACAAUGAGCAUCGGUCAAUCGCACCUACAGAUCUAAAAAGUCAUUUUUACAGGUUUAUCGGGUAUUCGGAUGUGCGUGUUAUCAAAGUACUCUAUGCUUUUGUUGUGUUUAUAUAAUUAUUGUUCUUUUGUUAUACAGGUUCCUAUGACCCGUUUAAGAAAGCGAGUUGCUACGCGUCAACCUCAGCUGCCUACUAUAGACAAAGAAAUACAUGUUCCUCUCACCUGUUUAAGAAAGCGAGGUUCUACGCAUAUGAAAGAUUCCCUGAACACAUUUGAUGAAGUUGACAUGUAAGUUUAGUCAUGGUAAAGUGGGUGGGUUGGGCGGGUUUGGGUACGAGUCAGGAUGGAUUCGGGUCAGAGUGGAUCUGGAUCAAAACGGGUCAGGAGCAAAAUGUGUUCGGGUCAAAAUGGGUUUGGUGCAAAAUGAGUUCGGGUCAAAACAGUUUUGGAGCAAAAUAAGUUCUUGUCAAAAUGGGUCCUUUAAAGAAACUAUCAAUUUGUAUUCCAAGUAUCAUGUCAGCUAACGGUGCAGCGAGUGGUUGUAGCGGGGACGGUCGUUGAUAAACUCAUUUUCAUCAGAGAGUAGAGACGUUGUGGGGUGAGUUACGUUAGUGCAAUCGUGGGUUGAGUUAGUAGGUUACUUGCAGAAGAUACUUAUGUCAUAUGAAACUAAACUUACAGAAGAUACUUAGUAAUGAAGGUGGGGGCUGGUGUUUAUCGACUACCAUAUUUGAGAGUCAGUGGACCCGAAUUUGGUUUUAUAAUUAGCCUUUUAUCUUAUCUUCCACCGGGGGUGGCAUAAUACAUGAGUUGGGCAUGUAAGGUAAUUGGUCAUAAUAGGUUUUUGAUCAGUAUGAGUGAACCGCCAAAUGCUAUUGUUUUAUAUAGUUAUUGGUUGGUUAAAUAUGAUUAUAAAGCGAUGUUAUUAUAAUCAUAAUUUGAAUAUUUUUUAAAUGCAUUUUGGUUGUUAUUUA